GGUGUAAUAGUGAAUAGUGAAUUAAGUUUCUACUGCCAAGACCUUUGUUGACCAGUUUGUAUUAUACAAUGAUUUAUCCAUAUCUCUCAUAUUGUAACAUUAUCUGGGUCAGUACAUUCAAAAGUGAUAUCAGCUAUUUACAUAUACUAUAGAAACGUUUUGUCAGAAUGGUCACUGGGUCAAACUAUUUUUCAAGCUCCCGUCCCUUAUUUCAGAACCUUCAGAUUUUCAAUGUAAAUGAAAUUAAUCAGUUGCAGAUAUGUCAGUUUAUUUUUUCUUAUAUACACAAUUUACUUCCUGACUGCUUUCAAAACACAACCCAAUUAAAUUUUCAAGUACACCAUUACUGUACAAGAUCAGCCAAUAAUCUCCAUACAGCCUUUUAUAGAACAUCACUUGGAGAGUUUACCAUAUCUUACCGAGGACCUACGAUCUGGAAUGGCCUACCAUCUUAUUUAAAGAACUGUAAUCAACUCAGUUGUUUAAAAAACAACUAAAGGAUUAUCUCCUCUUAAUGGAUAAUUAAAAUAUGUAAAGUUAUGGUUCUUUACUCAAUUAUUGGGUCAAUUAUUGUUUAUAUUCUUUCUUUACAACUCUAUUGUGAAUAUGUAUGUGUAUAUGUAUGUAUGUAUGUGUGUAUAUGUAUGUAUAUAUGUGUAUGUAGGCGUAUGUAUGUAUGCAAAGUCUUUUCUUAUGAUUUUGUUUGUAAUUUAGAGGGAAAGUACUGUAUAUAAGCCCCUAUGGGCUUACUCACUUUCCCUGCGCAUGUUUUUUUGUUCUCACUUACAUGACACGCAUCCCUGUUUGCUUCCUUCUUUCACAUAUGUGUGCAAAUAAUAAUAAAAAAAAAGAAUAAAUAAAUACUGCAUAUUUGGCAGUGCUGAAUCAAUAUACAACUCCUAAGCCAUUAAGACUUUUUUUUUUUCAAAAAAGCUGUUUCCCAUCUGAAUAAUGGUAAAAACAAGUGAUUUCUAUGUAUAGUUUUAUAAAGUAUAGUUAUACAAAAUACUGUAUCUAUUGGUAGAAUAUAUUAUUAUUGGUAGAAUGAUGUAGCUAUUGAUAUUAUAAGUAGAAUGCUGUAGCUAUUGGUAGAAUAUAUUUUUAUUGGUAGAAUGCUGUAGCUAUUGAUAUUAUUGGUAGAAUGCUGUAGCUAUUGAUAUUAUUGGUAGAAUGCUGUAGCUAUUGAUAUUAUUGGUAGAAUGCUGUAGCUAUUGAUAUUAUAGGUAGAAUGCUGUAGCUAUUGAUAUUAUUGGUAGAAUGCUGUAGCUAUUGAUAUUAUAGGUAGAAUGCUGUAGCUAUUGAUAUUAUUGGUAGAAUGAUGUAGCUAUUGAUAUUAUAGGUAGAAUGCUGUAGCUAUUGAUAUUAUUGGUAGAAUGCUGUAGCUAUUGAUAUUAUAGGUAGAAUGAUGUAGCUAUUGAUAUUAUAGGUAGAAUGAUGUAGCUAUUGAUAUUAUAGGUAGAAUGAUGUAGCUAUUGAUAUUAUAGGUAGAAUGAUGUAGCUAUUGAUAUUAUUGGUAGAAUGCUGUAGCUAUUGAUAUUAUAGGUAGAAUGAUGUAGCUAUUGAUAUUAUUGGUAGAAUGCUGUAGCUAUUGAUAUUAUAGGUAGAAUGCUGUAGCUAUUGAUAUUAUUGGUAGAAUGCGGUAGCUAUUGAUAUUAUAGGUAGAAUGAUGUAGCUAUUGAUAUUAUAGGUAGAAUGAUGUAGCUAAAUAUGUUAUCUGAAUUAUACAAUGGGAAAGACAAACAAGAUUUAGUUCCCUUUUAAAAUGUUUCUUGUUGUUU